AUUAUGGCUCAGGAUGAACGCUAGCGGCAGGCUUAACACAUGCAAGUCGAGGGGCAUCGGGAGUAGCAAUACUGCCGGCGACCGGCGCAAGGGUGCGUAACGCGUGAGCAACAUGCCCGUAUCAGGGGGGAUAAUCCAUGGAAACGUGGUCUAAUACCCCAUAGUAAUUAUGUAAGGCAUCUUAUAUAAUUUAAAGCUUUGGUGGAUACGGAUUGGCUCGCGUGACAUUAGCUGGAUGGUAAGGUAACGGCUUACCAUGGCUACGAUGUCUAGGGGUUCUGAGAGGAAGGUCCCCCACACUGGAACUGAGACACGGUCCAGACUCCUACGGGAGGCAGCAGUGAGGAAUAUUGGACAAUGGAUGGAAAUCUGAUCCAGCCAUGCCGCGUGCAAGGAAGACGGCCCUAUGGGUUGUAAACUGCUUUUGUAUGGGAGCAAUAAGGGCUACGUGUAGUCCGAUGAGAGUACCAUACGAAUAAGCACCGGCUAACUCCGUGCCAGCCGCCGC
rnacentral:rRNA from 1 species